rnacentral:rRNA from 1 species
GACAGAGGGUGCAAACGUUGUUCGGAAUUACUGGGCGUAAAGCGCGUGUAGGCGGCCCUGCAAGUCGGGUGUGAAAUCCCACGGCUCAACCGUGGAAGUGCACUCGAAGCUGCAGGGCUAGAGUCCUGGAGAGGAAGGUGGAAUGCUUGGUGUAGAGGUGAAAUUCGUAGAUAUCAAGCGGAACACCGGUGGCGAAGGCGGCCUUCUGGACAGUGACUGACGCUGAGACGCGAAAGCGUGGGGAGCAAACAGG